AGAGUUUGAUCCUGGCUCAGGACGAACGCUGGCGGCGUGCUUAACACAUGCAAGUCGAGCGGUAAGGCCCUUCGGGGUACACGAGCGGCGAACGGGUGAGUAACACGUGGGCAACCUGCCCCGUACUCUGGGAUAAGCCCGGGAAACUGGGUCUAAUACCGGAUAUGACCAUCGUAGGCAUCUGUGAUGGUGGAAAGUUC
rnacentral:rRNA from 1 species